rnacentral:sRNA from 1 species
UUUUUGUGUAGUAUUAAAAGAUGCAGAAUCCGAAAUAAUGUAUUUUAUUGUAGAAGUGAUUCAAAAGACCUUAUCUCGUAGUCACUUGUAGCAUUAUUGGUUUAAGGUUAAAGAAAACAUUUAAAACUCUGU